UGAGGAAUAUUGGUCAAUGGGCGCAAGUCUGAACCAGCCAUGCCGCGUGCAGGAUGACGGCUCUAUGAGUUGUAAACUGCUUUUGUACGAGGGUAAACGCAGAUACGUGUAUCUGUCUGAAAGUAUCGUACGAAUAAGGAUCGGCUAACUCCGUGCCAGCAGCCGCGGUAAUACGGAGGAUCCGAGCGUUAUCCGGAUUUAUUGGGUUUAAAGGGAGCGUAGGCGGACGCUUAAGUCAGUUGUGAAAGUUUGCGGCUCAACCGUAAAAUUGCAGUUGAUACUGGUUUCCUUGAGUGCAGUUGAGGCAGGCGGAAUUCGUGGUGUAGCGGUGAAAUGCUUAGAUAUCACGAAGAACCCCGAUUGCGAAGGCAGCUUGCUAAACUGUAACUGACGUUCAUGCUCGAAAGUGUGGGUAUCAAACAGGAUUAGAUACCCUGGUAGUCCACACGGUAAACGAUGGAUACUCGCUGUUGGCGAUAUACUGUCAGCGGCCAAGCGAAAGCAUUAAGUAUCCCACCUGGGGAGUACGCCGGCAACGGUGAAACUCAAAGGAAUUGACGGGGGCCCGCACAAGCGGAGGAACAUGUGGUUUAAUUCGAUGAUACGCGAGGAACCUUACCCGGGCUUAAAUUGCAGACGAAUUACGAGGAAACUUGUAAGCCGCAAGGCGUCUGUGAAGGUGCUGCAUGGUUGUCGUCAGCUCGUGCCGUGAGGUGUCGGCUUAAGUGCCAUAACGAGCGCAACCCUCGUGGUCAGUUACUAACAGGUUAAGCUGAGGACUCUGGCCAGACUGCCAUCGUAAGAUGUGAGGAAGGUGGGGAUGACGUCAAAUCAGCACGGCCCUUACGUCCGGGGCUACACACGUGUUACAAUGGGAGGUACAGAAGGCAGCUACCCGGCGACGGGAUGCCAAUCCCCAAAACCUCUCUCAGUUCGGACUGGAGUCUGCAACCCGACUCCACGAAGCUGGAUUCGCUAGUAAUCGCGCAUCAGCCACGGCGCGGUGAAUACGUUCCC
rnacentral:rRNA from 1 species